rnacentral:rRNA from 1 species
CAGUCGCCGCGGUAAUACGGAGGGUGCAAGCGUUAAUCGGAAUUACUGGGCGUAAAGCGCACGCAGGCGGUUUGUUAAGUCAGAUGUGAAAUCCCCGAGCUUAACUUGGGAACUGCAUUUGAAACUGGCAAGCUAGAGUCUUGUAGAGGGGGGUAGAAUUCCAGGUGUAGCGGUGAAAUGCGUAGAGAUCUGGAGGAAUACCGGUGGCGAAGGCGGCCCCCUGGACAAAGACUGACGCUCAGGUGCGAAAGCGUGGGGAGCAAACAGGAUUAGAUACCCCUGUAGUCCCUGUCUCUUAUAU